CUACGGGUGGCAGCAGUGGGGAAUAUUGCACAAUGGGCGCAAGCCUGAUGCAGCAACGCCGCGUGAGGGAUGAAGGCCUUCGGGUUGUAAACCUCUUUUAGCAGGGAAGAAGCGAAAGUGACGGUACCUGCAGAAAAAGCACCGGCUAACUACGUGCCAGCAGCCGCGGUAAUACGUAGGGUGCAAGCGUUGUCCGGAAUUAUUGGGCGUAAAGAGCUCGUAGGCGGUUUGUCACGUCUGCUGUGAAAAUCCAAGGCUCAACCUUGGACUUGCAGUGGGUACGGGCAGGCUAGAGUGCGGUAGGGGAGAUGGGAAUUCCUGGGGUAGCGGUGGAAUGCGCAGAUAUCAGGAGGAACACCAAUGGCGAAGGCACAUCUCUGGGCCGUAACUGACGCUGAGGAGCGAAAGCGUGGGGAGCGAACAGGAUUAGAUCCCUCGUAGUC
rnacentral:rRNA from 1 species